GUACACACACACACACACCCCUGUUGUAGUGUACACACACACACACACACACACACACAUCCCUGUUGUAGUGUAAAGACACACAUCCCUGUUGUAGUGUACAGACACACACACAUCCCUGUUGUAGUGUAAAGACACACAUCCCUGUUGUAGUGUACAGACACACACACAUCCCUGUUGUAGUGUAAAGACACACAUCCCUGUUGUAGUGUAAAGACACACAUCCCUGUUGUAGUGUAAAGACACACAUCCCUGUUGUAGUGUACAGACACACACACAUCCCUGUUGUAGUGUAAAGACACACAUCCCUGUUGUAGUGUAAAGACACACACACAUCCCUGUUGUAGUGUAAAGACACACAUCCCUGUUGUAGUGUACAGACACACACACAUCCCUGUUGUAGUGUAAAGACACACACACAUCCCUGUUGUAGUGUAAAGACACACAUCCCUGUUGUAGUGUAAAGACACACACACACAUCCCUGUUGUAGUGUAAAGACACACAUCCCUGUUGUAGUGUAAAGACACACAUCCCUGUUGUAGUGUAAAGACACACAUCCCUGUUGUAGUGUACAGACACACACACAUCCCUGUUGUAGUGUAAAGACACACAUCCCUGUUGUAGUGUAAAGACACACAUCCCUGUUGUAGUGUAAAGACACACACACACACACACAUCCCUGUUGUAGUGUACACACACACACACACACACACACACACACACACACACACAUCCCUGUUGUAGUGUAAAGACACACACACACACACACACCCCUGUUGUAGUGUACACACACACACACACACACACACACACACAUCCCUGUUGUAGUGUAAAGACACACAUCCCUGUUGUAGUGUACAGACACACAUCCCUGUUGUAGUGUACAGACACACAUCCCUGUUGUAGUGUACAGACACACACACAUCCCUGUUGUAGUGUACAGACACACACAUCCCUGUUGUAGUGUACAGACACACACAUCCCUGUUGUAGUGUACAGACACACACAUCCCUGUUGUAGUGUAACAGACACACACAUCCCUGUUGUAGUGUAAAGACACACACACACACACACAUCCCUGUUGUAGUGUAAAGACACACAUCCCUGUUGUAGUGUAAAGACACACACAUCCCUGUUGUAGUGUAAAGACACACACACACACACACAUCCCUGUUGUAGUGUAAAGACACACAUCCCUGUUGUAGUGUAAAGACACACAUCCCUGUUGUAGUGUAAAGACACACAUCCCUGUUGUAGUGUACAGACACAGGGAUCCCCAGGUGUUCUCUCUGUGUCCCCAGGUGGUGUCUCUGUCUAACAGGUGUUCUCUCUGUGUCCCCAGGUGGUGUCUCUGUCUGACAGGUGGUCUCUCUGUGUCCCCAGGUGGUGUCUCUGUCUAACAGGUGUUCUCUCUGUGUCCCCAGGUGGUGUCUCUGUCUAACAGGUGUUCUCUCUGUGUCCCCAGGUGGUGUCUCUGUCUGACAGGUGGUCUCUCUGUGUCCCCAGGUGGUGUCUCUGUCUAACAGGUGUUCUCUCUGUGUCCCCAGGUGGUGUCUCUGUCUGACAGGUGGUCUCUCUGUGUCCCCAGGUGGUGUCUCUGUCUGACUGGUGUUCUCUCUGUGUCCCCAGGUGGUGUCUCUGUCUAACAGGUGUUCUCUCUGUGUCCCCAGGUGGUGUCUCUGUCUAACAGGUGUUCUCUCUGUGUCCCCAGGUGGUGUCUCUGUCUAACAGGUGUUCUCUCUGUGUCCCCAGGUGGUGUCUCUGUCUAACAGGUGUUCUCUCUGUGUCCCCAGGUGGUGUCUCUGUCUAACAGGUGUUCUCUCUGUGUCCCCAGGUGGUGUCUCUGUCUAACAGGUGUUCUCUCUGUGUCCCCAG